CUUACCCACUGAGCACCAUUACUUGGCCACGGGAAUGGAAAUGGGGGGGGUGUUACAGUUUUCCGUAUCCCUGUCGAGUGCUGGGUCAAUAUUAGAUCAGCCAGG
rnacentral:ribozyme from 1 species